GAUGAACGCUGGCGGCGUGCCUAAUACAUGCAAGUCGAGCGAACGGACGAGAAGCUUGCUUCUCUGAUGUUAGCGGCGGACGGGUGAGUAACACGUGGAUAACCUACCUAUAAGACUGGGAUAACUUCGGGAACCGGAGCUAAUACCGGAUAAUAUUUUGAACCGCAUGGUUCAAAAGUGAAAGACGGUCUUGCUGUCACUUAUAGAUGGAUCCGCGCUGCAUUAGCUAGUUGGUAAGGUAACGGCUUACCAAGGCAACGAUGCAUAGCCGACCUGAGAGGGUGAUCGGCCACACUGGAACUGAGACACGGUCCAGACUCCUACGGGAGGCAGCAGUAGGGAAUCUUCCGCAAAGGGCGAAAGCCUGACGGAGCAACGCCGCGUGAGUGAUGAAGGUCUUCGGAUCGUAAAACUCUGUUAUUAGGGAAGAACAUAUGUGUAAGUAACUGUGCACAUCUUGACGGUACCUAAUCAGAAAGCCACGGCUAACUACGUG
rnacentral:rRNA from 1 species